UAGACUUACAAAGAUAGAACUACUUAGACAACUUGAUACUUCAAGAAGAGAAGCAAACGAGCGUGUCCAACAAAUUCAAAAAGAAGCAAGCGAACAAGUAAAUGAUGUUAAGAAGCAAAUGGAUGAGAAACUUGCAGAGAUGAAUAGAAUAUGGGAGCAGAAAUUCAAUAUGCUUUUGGAGAAAAACAAUAAUAUUGCAUCACCUAUGGAGGAUUCCCAAGAUGAUGAAAUUGGAGGAUGAUUUGCAGUAUAUUUGAAGUUUUGGAUUUUGAAGCAGCCAGCAGCCUUAUAAUACUACUUUUAUAAAAUUUAGAUAUUAAUAUUAGUGUUAGUAUAGUAUUAUAAUUUCAAGUAUUUUUAGUGUGAUUGCUUUAUGAUUUAAAUUAGUUUAUUUUGGAUAU